UGCACCAGUACUCCAGGUGCUUACUUGUGGAUUCCAGAAACAAAAGAAGAGGCUGAAGCAGUUUUAGUCAAAUUUGAUAUAUUUGGAGUACAAUCUUUUGACGUCUACACUGGAGCAAACAAUCUCGCUGACAACAACAGCUAUGUUUAUGCAGUAACAAAUGAUCCAUUUGACCAGUAUAAUCUACCAUUUGGUAGACUCGCUACAACGGACGAUAGUAAUAAUAUCAGUGAAGGUUGUUUCGAACUUGAUUGGGAUCCGAAUGAACUUGAGUUUGUAUGGGACCCUGAUUUUUGUAAUGCGACUGUUUCUGGGGAGGCAUACA